rnacentral:rRNA from 1 species
CGUGCGGUUCUAUUUUGUUGGUUUCUAGGACCGCCGUAAUGAUUAAUAGGGACAGUCGGGGGCAUCAGUAUUCAAUUGUCAGAGGUGAAAUUCUUGGAUUUAUUGAAGACUAACUACUGCGAAAGCAUUUGCCAAGGAUGUUUUCAUUAAUCAGGAACGAAAGUUAGGGGAUCGAAGACGAUCAGAUACCGUCGUAGUCUUAACCAUAAACUAUGCCGACUAGGGAUCGGACGAUGUUAAAUUUUGACUCGUUCGGCACCUUACGAGAAAUCAAAGUGCUUGGGCUCCAGGGGGAGUAUGGUCGCAAGGCUGAAACUUAAAGAAAUUGACGGAAGGGCACCACCAGGGGUGGAGCCUGCGGCUUAAUUUGACUCAACACGGGGAAACUCA